rnacentral:rRNA from 1 species
GACCGGAGUGGACGCAUCACUGGUGUUCGGGUUGUCAUGCCAAUGGCACUGCCCGGUAGCUAAAUGCGGAAGAGAUAAGUGCUGAAAGCAUCUAAGCACGAAACUUGCCCCGAGAUGAGUUCUCCCUGAGACUUWRRGUCUCCUGAAGGAACGUUGAAGACGACGACGUUGAUAGGCCGGGUGUGUAAGCGCAGCGAUGCGUUGAGCUAACCGGUACUAAUGAACCGUGAGGCUUAACCUU